rnacentral:rRNA from 1 species
AGUGAACGCUGGCGGUAGGCCUAACACAUGCAAGUCGAACGGCAGCACAGUAAGAGCUUGCUCUUACGGGUGGCGAGUGGCGGACGGGUGAGGAAUACAUCGGAAUCUACUUUUUCGUGGGGGAUAACGUAGGGAAACUUAAGCUAAUACCGCAUACGACCUACGGGUGAAAGCAGGGGAUCUUCGGACCUUGCGCGAUUGAAUGAGCCGAUGUCGGAUUAGCUAGUUGGCGGGGUAAAGGCCCACCAAGGCGACGAUCCGUAGCUGGUCUGAGAGGAUGUUCAGCCACACUGGAACUGAGACACGGUCCAGACUCCUACGGGAGGCAGCAGUGGGGAAUAUUGGACAAUGGGCGCAAGCCUGAUCCAGCCAUACCGCGUGGGUGAAGAAGGCCUUCGGGUUGUAAAGCCCUUUUGUUGGGAAAGAAAAGCAGCAGGUUAAUACCCCGCUGUUCUGACGGUACCCAAAGAAUAAGCACCGGCUAACUUCGUG